GCUCAGUUGGUAAAGCACAAAGCUCUUAACCUUGUGGACGUGGGUUCAAACCCCGU
rnacentral:tRNA from 1 species